CCUACGGGUGGCUGCAGUGGGGGAUAUUGCACAAUGGGGGGAACCCUGAUGCAGCGACGCCGCGUGGGUGAAGGAGUAUUUCGGUAUGUAAAGCCCUAUCGGCAGGGAAGAAGCAAGACGGUACCUGACUAAGAAGCCCCGGCCAACUACGUGCCAGCAGCCGCGGUAAUACGUAGGGGGCGAGCGUUAUCCGGAUUCACUGGGUGUAAAGGGAGCGUAGACGGCCAUGCAAGCCAGGGGUGAAAGCCCGGGGCCCAACCCCGGGACUGCCGUUGGAACUGGGCGGCUAGAGUGCGGGAGGGGCAGGCGGAAUGCCUGGUGUAGCGGUGAAAUGCGUAGAUAUCAGGAGGAACACCGGCGGCGAAGGCGGCCUGCUGGAGCGCGACUGACGUUGAGGCUCGAAAGCGUGGGGAGCGAACAGGAUUAGAUACCCGAGUAGUC
rnacentral:rRNA from 1 species